UACAGAGGUGGCAAGCGUUGUUCGGAAUUACUGGGCGUAAAGGGCGCGUAGGCGGCCUUCUAAGUCAGACGUGAAAUCCCCCGGCUUAACCUGGGAACUGCGUCUGAUACUGGGAGGCUAGAGUGCGGGAGAGGGAUGCGGAAUUCCAGGUGUAGCGGUGAAAUGCGCAGAUAUCAGGAGGAACACCGGUGGCGAAGGCGGGUCUCUGGGCCGAUACUGACGCUGAGGAGCGAAAGCGUGGGGAGCGAACAGG
rnacentral:rRNA from 1 species